rnacentral:misc_RNA from 1 species
AAACUUCAAAACUGUCAAACAUAUGCAAGCAAUUAAAGGCUAUAUGUAUUUCAGUUCUUCACUAUAUUGAAAUGUGAGACCUAAGCUAAUGGAACACAUGAACACUGAGGAUUCAAAAAGCCGACCCCGACCUGUUUGGGAUCGAGUCAUAAUUGCUGUUGUAUGCCCGCCUUCAACUAGCUAGCUUAUAUUUAACAAAGAACUCACUCGUGUUCCCGAGUUCUUCUAACUUGGACGAAUGCUGCCAUGAAUUCACACUAAUCAUCUCACCAUGUUCUAGUGUAUGUUGAGGUAUCCUUUUAGCUGAACUCGUGCAUUAGAGAUGUGUCGAUAAUAAGGGAUUCUUGGAAAGCAAUACGAUUAGGCAAUGUCGUUACUGUCUCCUUUCGACCUUUUACUUUUUUUCUUGGUCUUCAGUUUUUUGCUUCCGCUGUGUUCUUUUGAUGCCUUCUUGCGUUUAACAGUCUUCUCUUCCUCUUCUUCCGUCUGUAAUGUUUCAUCUGUAUCGUGUUGCUGAGGAGGUACCUGAGCUUCUCUUGUAGAGAAUUUUGAAUCGAAUACAACACUGUUUAGAUGCUGCUUCAAGAAAACCGCAGACAGAAGUUGUCGUGACUUGACAUCCCAAAUGCGUAAAUAGCUGUCCAAUCCACAUGAGGCUAUAACUGGAAGCUCUGGAUGCUUAACUAUGGAUCUUAUACUUCCCGAACAUUUCCCCAAGAAGGAUCCCAAAAGUUUCCCUGUGCGGAUGUCAAAAGAAGCAAGAUCGCCAGACCCAUUUCCUA